AUUGAACGCUGGCGGCAUGCCUUACACAUGCAAGUCGAACGGUAACAGGUCUUCGGAUGCUGACGAGUGGCGAACGGGUGAGUAAUACAUCGGAACGUGCCCGAUCGUGGGGGAUAACGAAGCGAGAGCUUUGCUAAUACCGCAUAAGAUCUAAGGAUGAAAGCAGGGGACCGCAAGGCCUUGCGCGAACGGAGCGGCCGAUGGCAGAUUAGGUAGUUGGUGGGAUAAAAGCUUACCAAGCCGACGAUCUGUAGCUGGUCUGAGAGGACGACCAGCCACACUGGGACUGGGACACGGCCCAGACUCCUACGGGAGGCAGCAGUGGGGAAUUUUGGACAAUGGGCGAAAGCCUGAUCCAGCCAUGCCGCGUGCAGGAUGAAGGCCUUCGGGUUGUAAACUGCUUUUGUACGGAACGAAAAGACUCUGGUUAAUACCUGGGGUCCAUGACGGUACCGUAAGAAUAAGCACCGGCUAACUACGUGCCAGCCGCCGCCGUAA
rnacentral:rRNA from 1 species